rnacentral:rRNA from 1 species
CCGGCGACCGGCGCACGGGUGAGUAACACGUAUGCAACCUGGCCGUGACAGAUGGAUAACCGGGAGAAAUCCCGCCUAAUACAACAUAAUGCCGGGAGGGGAUAUCCCCUGCCGGCCAAAGGGGGCGACCCCGGUCACGGAUGGGCAUGCGGCGCAUUAGGUAGUUGGUGGGGCAACGGCCCACCAAGCCGACGAUGCGUAGGGGUUCUGAGAGGAAGGUCCCCCACAUUGGAACUGAGACACGGUCCAAACUCCUACGGGAGGCAGCAG